rnacentral:rRNA from 1 species
UACGUAGGGUGCGAGCGUUAAUCGGAAUUACUCGGCGUAAAGCGUGCGCAGGCGGCUAUGCAAGACAGAUGUGAAAUCCCCGGGCUCAACCUGGGAACUGCAUUUGUGACUGCAUGGCUAGAGUACGGCAGAGGGGGAUGGAAUUCCGCGUGUAGCAGUGAAAUGCGUAGAUAUGCGGAGGAACACCGAUGGCGAAGGCAAUCCCCUGGGCCUGUACUGACGCUCAUGCACGAAAGCGUGGGGAGCAAACAGG